rnacentral:rRNA from 1 species
CCUACGGGUGGCAGCAGUGAGGAAUAUUGGUCAAUGGACGCAAGUCUGAACCAGCCACGCCGCGUGCAGGAAGACGGCCCUAUGAGUUGUAAACUGCUUUUGUACGGGGGUAAACGCAGAUACGUGUAUCUCUCUGAAAGUAUCGUACGAAUAAGGAUCGGCUAACUCCGUGCCAGCAGCCGCGGUAAUACGGAGGAUGCGAGCGUUAUCCGGAUUUAUUGGGUUUAAGGGGUGCGUAGGCGGAAUAUCAAGUCAGCGGUAAAAAUUCGGGGCUCAACCCCGCAGCGCCGUUGAAACUGAUGUUCUUGAGUGGGCGAGAGGUAUGCGGAAUGCGUGGUGUAGCGGUGAAAUGCAUAGAUAUCACGAAGAACUCCGAUUUCGAAGGCAGCAUACCGGCGCCCAACUGACGCUGAAGAACGAAAGCGUGGGUAUCGAACAGGAUUAGAUACCCGUGUAGUC